AGGUAAUACAACCUGUGCCAACCUUUGCCGGCACGGAAUUAUUACGUAUUCGCAUCUUUAAUAUUGUGUAAAAUGCUUUUUCGUCAUAGAGUAGUCUUCGAUUACUUGGAAUGAUGAUAAUGAUUUUAUUGAUCCAUCUUUAGUUUAAAAAUACAGUGGAUUUACAACAAUGUCUAUUAAAAGAGAAGAGCAUAACUAUAGGCAUGCAAUAAUAUUUACAAACUAU